AAUCCAUGUAUAAGCCAUUUCCUAAGAAAAUUUUUGAACCUUUCCCAUGCUUCAUAUAGUGUUUCAUCCUCUAGUUACUUGAAUGAUGUUAUGUCAUUUCUCAGUUU
rnacentral:snoRNA from 1 species